GCCACGGCCAUACCAGCCUGGGUACGCCCGAUCUCGUCUGAUCUCGGAAGCUAGGCAGGGUCGGGCCUGGUUAGUACUUGGAUGGGAGACCGCCUGGGAAUACCAGGUGCUGUAAGCA
rnacentral:rRNA from 1 species